ACCUUUUUAAACUUUAACUCUUAUUUUGUAACAGUUCUCGCAAAAACCUGCAGCUCAGACAAUAUCAGCCCUCUGACGCCCCCAACCUCACCAUUUAAAACCCAACAACGCAGUGCAAGGUCAACAUAAUUCAGCAUUCAGAAUUUGACACCAAAAUCCUCCUAUAAGUUCAAGACUCUCUGACCUCCUGACCUCUAGAUCAACAUGGAGCUGCAGAAGCUUUCCAAUGGAAACCACCAUGAUGCUGCGGGGGCUCUGGAGGGAGGACUUCUUCCAGAAGAAGAGAAAUUCCUGCAGCACAAAGAUGAAGAUGCAAAGCGACCUCAGUUCACAGACGUGAGUAAGACGGGCCCGAGCCGGGCGCCAUCCAAAGGUCCUGAACUCUGUUUACCUGUCAGGAAGUCUUUGUGUUUACAAGCAGAACUGGCUGACCCACUGCAGUCUGACCCCUAAGAGAACGUUCAAACAUACAGAGGAGUCGCAGCAGAUCCACAUUAAAGCUCACGCUCUGGUGAAGCUUUCUGGAGCCACAGAAUCGGAGUUUAAACAUCUGUGGGAACAUAAUG